rnacentral:lncRNA from 1 species
GAAAACUGUGGUCAUUUGUGGUUGGUAGGUUUUGAGUCCUGUCGUGGCUCAGAACCUGGUGGGGUAGGGGUAGCCGAGUAUACCCCUGCAAUGGUUAAUUUAUGUUUGGCAUUUUAAGUUGGUAUGUUGGAAUAAUGUUGGUAUAUGUUAUAUAUGUGUUAUUUAUAUGGGGGUCAUUGCCUUUUAUAUUAACAGAAGGAUUCGGAUGUGAGGGCGGAGUAUGGGG